rnacentral:misc_RNA from 1 species
GGGAAGCAGACCUUCCAACAGCUUGUUUACUUCAUCUUCGUACUGUACUUCUUCCAACAUUCCAGUUUCUUUCUUCUCCUUACCCUCAGCAGUAGUAUCUGAGUUUGAUUGAGGCACAUCCAAUUCACUGGAAGAAGCAAAUUUAGAUGGAGUUCUAAUAAGUUUUCCAGCAGUGGCUGGUAAGGAAUCAGUAGAUAUCUCACUUUUCUUCAAAAUCCACCUGCUCAGUUGCACUGAGGGAACCUCAUAACUUACACCUCUAUAUAACGAUACAGAAGUGCCAGACCUCCAA